rnacentral:rRNA from 1 species
UACGUAGGGUGCAAGCGUUAUCCGGAAUUAUUGGGCGUAAAGAGCUCGUAGGCGGUUUGUCGCGUCUGCUGUGAAAACCCGAGGCUCAACCUCGGGCCUGCAGUGGGUACGGGCAGACUAGAGUGCGGUAGGGGAGAUUGGAAUUCCUGGUGUAGCGGUGGAAUGCGCUGAUAUCAGGAGGAACACCGAUGGCGAAGGCAGAUCUCUGGGCCGUAACUGACGCUGAGGAGCGAAAGCGUGGGGAGCGAACAGG